rnacentral:ncRNA from 2 species
AAGAAAUAAACUAUAUGCAUCUGUAUAACCCUAAGAAUAUGGCUUAGGGGUCUCUACCAGGAACCUCAAAAUCCUGAUUACAGAAAACGAUUUGUUCGUU